GUGCUCGCUAUGGUAGCACAUAUAUUAAAAUUGGAAUGAUACAGAGAAGAUUAGCAUGGCUCCUGCUUAAGGAUGACAUGUAAAUUCAUGAAGCAUUCCAUAUUUUU
ensembl:snRNA U6 U6 spliceosomal RNA